rnacentral:lncRNA from 1 species
AAUGGCUCUCUUCGAAGAGGGGGAAUUCCUGAUUUUGUUGGAGAUUCAGUUGUGUCAUGCGGUGCUUUUCUGGAAACUGCCCUGUGAGAAGCUCGUUUCCUGAAGCAGACUCGUGACAGGAUGUUUGCUGAGAACAGACGCGUGGUAUUUUCCUGGAAGUUGCCUAGUGAAGUGACAUGUGAUGUUUUGCUGGAGCUGAUGCUUGAGAGGCAAUGUGAUGUUUGGAAAGAGGAUGAGUCUAACCCAACAGACUGUGGACAGUGUUCUUGUAUUGCUUCUCUUUGGAACUCUGCGGGUCAUUGUUGGGCUUCACUGGUGCUGGUCUCCCGCUGAUGAAAUUCUUGCAUUGGUUCGCCUUGCUUUUUUAGCUGAUCUUCACUUGUCAUGACUUCGUAGAGAGACAUGCACCAAAGAACUUCUGGUGGUAUUCCAGCUGCUUCUUGCUGCUUCCACAGACUGGUUCCAAUCGGCAGAUCCCUGCUGCUUCUUCUGGAUAAAGCCACUGCUACUGAGUCGUGUUUGGUGUUUUGCUAGUGGACUGAACUGCUGACAACGAUGAUUGGAAUCACCCCAAAGAACAAUUUCUAAACAGGUCCAUAACCCCUAUUUUCUAGUAACCUUUCUUUCCCCCUACUUCUGGUGGGUGGUGGGCUAGAAGAGAGGUAGACGUGUUAACCAUAAUUACAGUAGGUUUUGAAAAAUCUAAGACUACACUCCCUCCUUCUUCUAGAUGAAAAAAAAAAAAGCCAAAGACCAAACAGCAGUGUAACAUAGUUUCUUGGAGACCCUCUGCCCCAGCGUGUUUGAAAGGAUAAUGCCUAAGGUACUAAGUGUACUCUCUGCUCGAAUAGCUAAAAAGAAUGAUUUUCAUUAAAAAAUUUC